UGGGGAAUAUUGCACAAUGGAGGGAACUCUGAUGCAGCGACGCCGCGUUAGUGAUGAAGGAAUUCGUUUCGUUAAACUCUGUUCUAUGGGAAGAAAAGGACUGUACCAUAGGAGAAAGCUCCGGCUAAAUACGUGCCAGCAGCCGCGGUAAUACGUAUGGAGCGAGCGUUGUCCGGAAUUAUUGGGCGUAAAGGGUGCGCAGGCGGCUUUACAAGUUGGAUGUGAAAUAUUGUGGCUCAACCACAAACGUGCAUCCAAAACUGCAAAGCUUGAGUUAAGGAGAGGUAAGUGGAAUUCCUGGUGUAGCGGUGGAAUGCGUAGAUAUCAGGAGGAAUACCGGUGGCGAAGGCGACUUACUGGACUUAAACUGACGCUCAGGCACGAAAGCGUGGGGAGCAAACAGG
rnacentral:rRNA from 1 species